AGGAAAUGAGAAAAUUUGAAAAAUUUAAGAAACCUAUUUAAGAAAGUUUCCUUUCAUUAUGAUAUUCUAUUCCUUCUUGGAUAAUUUAAAAAAUUUGAGUAUGCUUUCCUUCGUUUAAAGGAAGAAAGGGGGAAUGAUAGAGAGCGAUUUCGAAAAACGUGUUAUCGAGGCAACAACUUUUAUCCGCCGUACGGAAUAACAGGAUUCGGAUGGUGCGCAAUCUAAGAUCGGCAUUUCUCCCGGUCUUAAGCUUAUACAGUACGCAUGAAUAAGCUCGAGUGUACGGUGUGGAACCACUUGUGACCUUUAACCCGUGUGCAGAAUGACCCUUGAAAGGGAGACUGCGAGGUGAUUUACAUACGAGAAUUUAUUGGCCCCGUCGGAGCGCCGAUGAUAAUGUACCGCGUCCGGGUGAUUGAUACGAUUUUAACAAUUCAUGACGCGGUUGUCGGCCGUAUAAUCAAUCCUCGUUUACCACGAUUCGUCUCGUUUCACCGUUCGUUCAUCUAUCGUUAUUAAUAUCCCGUAAAGGUAAUCCCGUUCGGAUUUAACCAAAUUUUUUUUACCAUCGCGCAACUUUCCUCUUCAUUACGAAAAGAGAUAGAUGAAAUAACGGCAAUUAACAUCUAACAUCAAGAUGUUUACUUUCGAAAGAGCGGAUCUUCGUCGUUGCCACGAAGAAGAAGAAGCGAAGGAUUCGAAAACCCUUCUCCUUCGAACCCUUCUCUCGUCUUAAAAAAAAGAGAGAGACGAGGCACGAGGCUGGAUUUUAAAACGAAGCAUCUCGAGUGUAGGCGCGUUUUCGAAACGAAAACAGACCGGUCCUGAUCGGUGGAGGAAGGCGAGGCGGCAACGUGCUCGCCCCUGCGUUGCGACGCAGCGGCCGGCAACAUGGCGUAUCCCUGGGAUCCCUUUAAAACGAGUUAAUCCGUCUGUCUGGCCGUCUGCCGAUCGCCUGAGAACCAAGAAGAUUCAUUUUCCCUUUGUCCAUUCUUUUUCACACGUACCAAAAGGAGCUGCGGCUCAAUGGGACAAUGCAGGCAGCGCCGCGCACGGUUUUACGACGUUCCUUUUCGCACAGGUCCCACACACAUUUGAAUAAUCAACGCGUAGGCAAGCCUCUGCUUUUGUCGCUUGGUCCAAGGGCCAAGUGUUAGGAGAGGAGAAGGCGGGGAGGGGAGGGGCAGAGUGUUGGCAGAGGGGAACGGGAGAGGGAAACGAGAGAGAAGGGAGAUGGACGUGCACUCCUCGAAAGGCAGUCACCGCACAAAAGUUGACACCGCACGAUACGAAAUGUCUCUCCAUCUCUCCAAUACUCUCCGAUACUCCCCGAAAACCGUGGACAGAUGUUCCACACGCAUGCCUCUCCUCCCGUCCGGAGAGAUUGGAGAGAUCGUUUUUGUUCCGUCCCGAUGUCGCAUGGGCAGAGGUGGAAAAAGAGUACAAGAGGCGCGAUUACGUCACGCGCUUUCUUCUUCCUUUCCUUUCCUCCUUUUAAUUCGCGCGGGUUCGUUAACCUUCGUGAACUCUCUCUCCCCCUCCCUCGAAAGGGAGGCCUUCGUCGCCUUCUCUUUGCCCGCGCCUCCCUUCCUCCAACGUCGCAUCCCCGCGAACCUGGCCCUUGCCUUUCUUUCUUUCUUUCUUUCUUUUUUCUUUCUUUUCUUUCUUUUCUUUUUUUUUUUUUUUAUACCGGGUGAACGAUCGAGAAAUCUCCUCCGGAGAAAGUCUCCUCCCUUGCGUUCGAUCGACAAUCGCCUCUUCUUUCUUCUCUCUCUUCAUCCGUCUUUCCUCUAACAAUAUCACAGUAAAAUUUGUUGUAAAAUAUAGCAUAUCCAGAGAGGAAAUAAUAAUAUAAUACAGCGUAGCUCGCCACGAUCUAAGAUGAUUCUGUCGUUGCGAAUCGUAAAAUCAUGUAAAUUUCUAUAAUGGGCAAAGUUCGUUAACCCGACACGCGUGAAUUUACGCACGCAUUUCUCGAGGGAACCGGAGAGAAAGAGAGAGAGAGAGAGAGAUGUCUCGAGAUCCUUCCGAGCAAUGAAACGUGUAUCGAGCGUGUAUUCGGACGUUUUACGACUUCCUAUCGUUACACGCGAGCCAUAACCGCGGGAUUGCCUCGAAUAUCUUCGAACGGGACAUUCUCCCGUUUCUUCCUUCCUCUCAUCAUUUCUCUCGAACCAUUUUCUAUUCUUGGGAUCGCGUGUCCCACCAAAGAUCUAACCAAAGUCUAACCAAAUCUCUCUAAGAGGAAACUGUUGCACAAGAAUUCGAAAGAUUCCUCUUCCUUCUAUCUCGAGUUUACCUUUAAGUCCGAGGAAGAAACGGAUUUCUCGUUAACCGCGCUCAACAUUCACGGCUUCAGCGAAACGUAAUUUCUAUUGUGGAAUCACGAUGGAAAUGGUAUCGCGAUUUAUCUCUCCAACCAAUUCACUCCCCACGUGUUGAAUCGCGUUUCCAGGUAUCCGGGGACAAUAGGCUGCUCGAUUAGGACGCGUUUAGCACGCGAUCGAGGGAGGGGCGAUUAGUCAACGGCGCGAAUUCCACGCUCGUAAACAGAAGCGUACGCUUAGGUAUGUGCGCCUGAAGGAAUUGCAGGAAGAGAUUCCUGUGGAAGGUCGAUUCGUCUCGAGCCCGGUCGAUGGCGAUAAUGACGACGACGACGACGACGACGAGGACGACGACGAUGAUGAUGAUGCGCUCGUUGAGCUGCGACGCGCGUGCGACGCGCGCGCGAGAAGUCAAUUAAUAUUCUCGGUUAUGGGACACGGUGACGGGAGCGUGUCGAACGGGGCCUGCUUGUUACACGUGUCUCGAACGGAGAGGAGAGGAUCGCGCACACCUCGGGCCUUGGCGUAUGGCGAGAUUUCGAGGAAAGUCGAGAUUGGAAUUGAUCGGGCGCCGCGUUCUCAUUCAAGCGAUGGAAGAUGGUGAGAAAAGAUUUCGAGAAAAAAUUCGAAAAUCGAGAUUGAUCGUGAGCGUUUUAGGCUGCGUUUUCAUUGAAGCAAUGUUAUGAGAAAAUCUGGAUGGAACGGUGAACAAAAAUAAAUUAGAAUUCGGGAUUUGAGAAAAAUUGAAAUUGACCGUACGUUUUAAGCUACGUUCUCAUUGAAGCGAUGGAAAUGGAAUGUGGAAUCACGAUUUCGAGUAUUCGAUCGUGAGAUUGUGAACGUUUUAGGCUGCGUUUUCAUUGGAUUGGCGAUGUUACAGGAAAAUUUGGAUAGAACAAAAAUCGUGAAAUUCGGGAUGUUUGAGAAAAAUUGAAAUUGAUUGUGUACGUUUCAAGCUGCGUUCUCAUUGAAGCAUUGUUAUAAGAAAAUCUGAAUGGAAUGGUGAACAAAAAAUUAAACUAGAAUCCGGUGUAUGAGAUUUUGAGAAUAAUUGAUUGGAAAUGAUCAAAUAACAUAUCUUACAUCUUAAGCUGCGUUCUCAUUGAAGCGAUGAAAAUGAAAUGUGGAAUCACGAUUUCGAAUGUUCGAGUAAAAAUUCGAACGAGAUUGAUCGUGAACAUUUUAGUUGCGUUUUCAUUGGAGGGAUGUCACAGAAAAAUCUAGAUGGAACAAAAAUCGUGAACUAGGAUUUGGGAUGUUUGAGAAAAAUUGAAAUUGACUGUGUAUAUUUUAAGCUGCGUUCUCAUUGAAGCGAUGUCACAGGAAAAUCUGGAUGGAAAAAUCGUGAACUAGGAUUCGGGAUAUUUAAGGAAAAUUGAAAUUGACCAUGUAUGUUUUAAGCUACGUUUUCAUUGAAGCGAUAGAUUAAAGGGUUUCGUUCAGAUGGAAAAAAAUAAAUUAGGAUUUGAGUUUAUGGAAUUACAAAGGAAGCGAGCAAUUAAUUGGAAUUAACGACGCACCAUGCGCAUUCUCUAGUAAAGCCGGAGAGAGGAACGUUCGUGUGGAUAAAACAGCGAAGAAGAAUGUGUGCCAGUGUAUGGGAUUUCGAGGAAAGUUGAUACGAUUGAAAUUGACGACGCAUUUUAAACUGCGUUCUCACUAAAGCGACGUGGUAGGGAGGGACUCUGUUUGGAUUCUGUUUUGGUUUCAAGGUAACAUACAUGUAUACACUGUAGGAAUAUUUAAUAUAUGAUAUAACAAUAUUAAUAACUAAGCGGAUGUUGUUGAGACGAAGAAAUGAUAUAAGAAUGUAAAUCGAGAGGAGGAAUUGUUGUUAUUAUUUCGUUUAAAAAUUCACGCGCAAAGAUGGAGUGUAGAUU